UGAUGUGUUCAUUUCAAAGAUUACGCCAUGCAUGUGUAAGUUUAACCUGCCAGACAGGGAAACUGCGUACGGCUCAUUACACCAGCUAUAAUUUACUUGACCUUGACUUCUUACUUGGAUAACUGUGGUAAUUCUAGAGCUAAUACAUGCACCAAAGCUCCAAUCUCCCCAGAGCGGAGUGCAUUUGUUCGCCACAAAACCAAGCGCCCUCCGGGCGUCCAGUGUUGACUCAGAACAACUAAGCUGAUCGCACGGUCUUGUACCGGAGACGUGUCUUUCAAGUGUCUGUCUUAUCAACUUUCGAUGGUAGUGUAUCUGACUACCAUGGCGAUGACGGGUAACGGAGGAUAAGGGUUCGACUCCGGAGAAGGGGCCUGAGAAAUGUUCACUACGUCUAAGGAUGGCAGCAGGCGCGCAAAUUACCCCCUCUCAACGCGAGGAGGUAUUGACGAGAAAUAACGAGACCGAUCUCUUAUGAGGCCGGUCAUCGGAAUGCGUACAAUUGAGACCCUUUAACGAGUAUCCAUGACAGGACAAGUCUGGUGCCAGUAGCCGCGGUAAUUCCAGCUCUCAAAAUGCAUAAAAAUUAUUGCUGCGGUUAAAAAGCUCGAAGUUGAAUCUGUGCUAGCCCGUCCGGUGCACACUUUGUGUGUUACUGGUUUGGUUGGCUUUUCUGCCGGUCUCUCCCCGGCGUUGACCUUUACCGGUCGGCGUCGGUGGGCUGGCGAGUUUACUUUGAACAAAUCAGAGUGCUUCAAACAGGCGUUUCGCUUGAAUGUUCGUGCAUGGAAUAAUAGAAGAGGAUUUCGGUCCGAUUUUAUUGGUUUUGCUGACCGAGAUAAUGGUUAACAGAGACAAACGGGGCCAUUCGUAUUGCUACGUGAGAGGUGAAAUUCUUGGACCGUAGCAAGACGGACUACAGCGAAAGCAUUUGGCAAGAAUGUCUUCAUUAAUCAAGAACGAAAGUCAGAGGUUCGAAGGCGAUCAGAUACCGCCCUAGUUCUGACCGUAAACGAUGCCAACUAGCGAUCCGCCGGCGGAUUUAUUCGCCCUGGUGGGGAGCUUCCCGGAAACGAAAGUCUUCCGGUUCCGGGGGAAGUAUGGUUGCAAAGCUGAAACUUAAAGGAAUUGACGGAAGGGCACCACCAGGAGUGGAGCCUGCGGCUUAAUUUGACUCAACACGGGGAAACUCACCCGGCCCGGACACCGUAAGGAUUGACAGAUUGAUAGCUUUUUCAUGAUUCGGUGGAUGGUGGUGCAUGGCCGUUCUUAGUUCGUGGAGCGAUUUGUCUGGUUUAUUCCGAUAACGAGCGAGACUCUAGCCUACUAAAUAGUUGGCUCAUUGCUUCUGUGGGCACAACUUCUUAGAGGGAUUUUCGGUGUUCAGCCGCACGAAAUUGAGCAAUAACAGGUCUGUGAUGCCCUUAGAUGUCCGGGGCUGCACGCGCGCUACACUGGCAA
rnacentral:rRNA from 2 species